rnacentral:sRNA from 1 species
CGUAAACUAUCGCUGAGUUCCAAUGGAAGCGGAGGACCCAAGUAAUUGGGGUGAAUCGCCGUUAGAGGCGUAGGGGUGCCUACAUCCGAACCCGUCAGCUAACUCCGUAAGCGCGUAGGUAUGUGCGG